rnacentral:rRNA from 1 species
ACAAGUACCCGGAGGGAAAGUUGAAAAGAACUUAGAGGUGAGAGUUCAACAGGGCGUGAAACCGCUUAGAAGUAAACGGAAGGUGCUGACAUUGUUUCUGCCGGAUUCAGCCGGUCUGACGGACAAUCGUCUGCUCGCUGAUCGCAAGACAGUGGGUAGAGUGUACUUGACCUAGGACUGGUGCAUUUCCGGUAGAAUGCAUCAUGACCGCUGACGACGCUGGCAUAAGGCCGGAUUGUUGCCGACCGCAGGUUCUCGGACUUGCGGUGCCCCACUUUCCGUGUCCUGACCGAGUUGGCGUCAGCGGGAACUGGACGUGCCCGCUGUCUCAUGCCGUGCUUUCAUUUAGUCGAAUGAACUGUUUGCCCGUGCUUGCACGGUCAGGCGACCCGCGGCUAUUUGGCUGUACGGUUAAUGAGUGGCACUGAAGGUCUAUGGUGUCCGCGUCAGUCUCCCUUCCGACCCGUCUUGAAACACGGACCAAGGAGUCUAACAUGUGCGCAAGUCAUGGGGUGGAAAACCCAAAGGCGUAAUGAAAGUAAAGGCCGCAAGGCUGAGGUGUGAUGUCCUGUUCAACAGGAUCGCAACACCGCCCCAUCGCAUCGGCUUGUCCGGGCGGUGGAGGAAGAGCGUACAUGUUGGGACCCGAAAGAUGGUGAACUAUGCCUGAGCAGGAUGAAGCCAGAGGAAACUCUGGUGGAGGUCCGUAGCGGUUCUGACGUGCAAAUCGAUCGUCAGACUUGGGUAUAGGGGCGAAAGACUAAUCGAACCAUCUAGUAGCUG